rnacentral:misc_RNA from 1 species
GAUGAAGAACGUAGCGAAAUGCGAUAAGUAAUGUGAAUUGCAGAAUUCAGUGAAUCAUCGAAUCUUUAAACGCACAUUGCGCCCGCCAGUAUUCUGGCGGGCAUGCCUGUUCGAGCGUCAUUUCAACCAUCAAGCCCCAGGCUUGUGUUGGGGACCUGCGGCUGCCGCAGGCCCUGAAAACCAGUGGCGGGCUCGCUGUCACACCGGGCGUAGUAGAUUUUAUCUCGCUCAGGGCGUGCUGCGGGUUCCGGCCGUUAAAAAGCCUUUUUUACCCAAGGUUGACCUCGGAUCAGGUAGGAAGACCCGCUGAACUUAAGCAUAUCAAUAAGCGGAGGA